ensembl:lncRNA
UUUCAUGGCUGCAGUCACCAUCUGCAGUGAUUUUGGAGCCCAAAAAUAUAAAGUCUGACACUGUUUCCCCUGUUUCCCCAUCUAUUUCCCAUGAAGUGAUGGGACCGGAUGCCAUGAUCUUCGUUUUAGCCCAGCUCAUUAAUCAAUAAUAGCUGAAAGCAUCUUAUUUCUGAAAUAAACCACACAGGAUGCUGUGGUAGGUGGAAUUCCAAGAUGCUCCUUCCCUCCUAGUGUAGGUGUCCCCUCGUACCCCCUGGAAUGGUGACAAUGAUGGAAUUGACUCUCAUGAUGAGGUCAUGCUCUGUGGCACAGUUGACUUCACAAAGUGUGACUAUCAAGGUAGUACUGACCCUUUAAAAGCAGAUGGUUUUUCCCAGUUGGUCUCGAAGAGUCAGAGAAUCAAAACACAAAGAAAAGUCUUUGGACAAGCUGUUGCUGACUCAAAGGUGGAGGGGUCCAUGUCUCAGAACUGCAGGUGGCUACUAGGAGCUGUGUGUGACCCCACAGCUGACAGCCAGCAAGGAAAUGGAGACCUUGAUGGUACAACCACAAAAAAUGAAUUCUGUCAGCACCGAGAAUGAACCUGGAAGCUGAUCGCUUCCCAGAGCUUCUGGGGUCUAGUGGGCACUCACUAUAGAGGAGCGACUAAUGACAGGGUGGACAUUUCUUGUUAAACUAACGUCCAAUUUUGCAAUGACUUCUAAGCAGUCAUCGUUAGCACCAAGACUUUUACAAGGAAGAUGUUUGUUGAAGUACCGAGGGAUGAACAGCCUUGACAAUGGGUCAUUGGGCAAAUGCGACUCCGGAAUAAUUCACCAGAGUAUGGACGUCCGGGAAUCGAAAAGGAACUGGCCAGCCUCCUACCAUAAGCCCUGCUAAACAGAACAGACACUAUGAAAUUUAAAACCACAGACAGCAUAAUUAAAUUGGAACCAAAGCG